rfam:Camelus ferus unplaced genomic scaffold scaffold539, whole genome shotgun sequence.
GAGGGUAUAGCUCAGUGGUAGAGUGUUUGCUUAGCAGGCGUGAGGUCCUGGGUUCAAUCCCCAGUCCCUCCA